AUGUCUUAAUCACCUCCUGAGAAAACAGAUGAUAAACUAUAUUUCAACUAAGAGAAAGACUCAUUCCCCUUCAUAGCACUCAUUUCCCUUCUAGUGAAUUCACCAUAACAAAACGGGGCACAAUAUUUUCCCAGGGUUCUCCCUGGGAGGAAGGAAACAGUGCCACCCAACUCCUGAAAGGGCGGCUCCAAUCUCAGUAUUUCUGAUAGUUUUAUUUCUACCCCUAAAUGGGGUAGGACACAGCAUCCUUUGUUCAGUUGCCUUGGACUUUCAAACAGAAGAAUAAAUAUAGAAUAGAAAACAGACAACUCAACCAAAUUAUUUGAAAAAAUAGACUCUCUUAACUGUAAAAAGUUGCGGCCCUACACCGAAGUUCUUGAGCUGGGAAAGAGGAAUGAGCCGAAGAUCAAUAUAAGAGACAAUAAGUACACCCCUCCAUAGUUGACUCCACACAUAACUUUCCAAUUGAAACUCUGUGGUACAGUCCAUAUUUUCUAUAUUUUUGUGAAUUUCACAAAGCAACCCACAAGGCUCUCCUUGAUCUUAGGUGAACACUGUGUUUCUGCACCAUCUGCCUUUGCUUCCUAAAGCAAUGCAGAGGUGUUUAAAGUGCCCUCUGCUGGUCAAGCGGAGAUACUUUGACAAACACACUUUAUGGCAAGUUGAGCUGAACAGUCGACACACAAACGGCCCCCUUCGAGACUUAUGCUUCAAAUUUUAAAUGAUAUAAAAUAUUCACCAUAUUUUUGGCCAAAUCAGAAGACAUUCUUCCUACUUUGAGUCAGCUUCAGAAAUUUUUUGAAAAGGGACUUACGCUCUGGAAUUCAAAAAUCAACUUAUUAAGAGCCAUAUUCUUUUACAAAAAGGUAGAUACUAUAAUAUCUGUAAUAUUUCAGUCCUUUACAAGCCAAAUAAAUGUGUAAACAUUCUUGUAUUUCAAAGAAGCAAUUAUGUCAAGUUGUUCACGGUGAUAAUAGUAUUCUAAUUGGUUAUAUAGCUUAAUGAUUAGACAAACUAGAUAAAAAUUAGGGGCUACUA
rnacentral:lncRNA from 1 species